rnacentral:tRNA from 1 species
UCCAACAAGACUUGCCAUUAGCACUAGCCCUUUAAGUUAGAAAAGGGGAUCUUCUCCCCCUUAGAGA